AUGCUGAGGAGGGAAAAGUCUUCAUGGAGACGGGUGGCCCCUGUAAUAAGGAAGACAACACUGGAUUCCUGGGCGAACAGCAGGGCAGGGUCCUUAGGUCCCAACAUAGGUGCCCAGGCCCAGAUGAGAUUCCCCAGUGGCCCCGAGGGGGCGCCCGGGACACCCUGGGUGGCCCAGUGUCCUCCCAUCACCCUUGCCCCUGGGCACCAUCCUCCUUGGCCUGGAAACCCUGAGCUCCCUGACGCCCCCGCCCCUCUCCCUACCUGUGCCAGGGAAGGCUGCUGCUCUCUGUCAGCCCUGGAGCCCCUCCUCCCCCAGCUCCUCUCACCCCUCCCUGUGGUCCUUGCCAAUCGCCCUGAGCCCGAAAAGGUGGGGGACUCUUGGAGAGACGGGGUCCUGGAUCCCCAGCCCUGGGGUCCCCUACUCACAGGGUCAGAUACGCUAACAAAGGCCAAGCACCCUGCCAAGCGGUGUCCUGGAUUGGGGUGGGCAUGGGGGUUCGCCUCAGGUCCAGGCUCCGGGAUGUCGUGCAGGACAGGGCGCGGCUGCGGCUGUGGCGGGGGCACUGGCUGGAAGCCGGAACUCCCGGCCUCGAGGGCGGAAAGUGUGGCCAGUACGGCGUGCUGGGGGGGCCAUGGCCCCGUUGCCAGGCAGCGCCUCCCUGGACGCCAGUUGCCAUGGAAGCCGGUUCCUGCCCAUGUUGCCACGGUGUCCAGGUGGCCUCGGGGAGUCUGGUUCAGAGGGGCCGCCCUGUGCCCUUGCCCGUCCUCCGCUGCCCAGUUAUGGGCUGGGAGGGCAAAGAGGAGGAGAGGCUGCGACGCCCAGCAUGGAGACCCAAGUCCUUCCUGCUGGAGCUGGGCUGCGGCCCAGGGCAGGGGCCAGAUGUGGCUGUUCUGCUGUCCGCACUGCGGACUUGAUGUUCAUACCCCAAGCUCAUUUUAUUUAUUUUCUAUUUUUAUUAAGACAGGGUCUCACUGUUGCCCAGGCUGGAGUGCAGUGGUACGACCACAACUCACUGAAGCCUCCAACUGGGCUCAAGGGAUUCUCCCACCUCAGCCUCCUGUGUACUGGGGACCAUAG
rnacentral:lncRNA from 1 species